UCAGGGUUGCGCGGAUCUUCAGAGAUUAGAGUUUGAUCCUGGCUCAGGACGAACGCUGGCGGCGUGCCUAAUACAUGCAAGUCGAGCGGACAGAUGGGAGCUUGCUCCCUGAUGUUAGCGGCGGACGGGUGAGUAACACGUGGGUAACCUGCCUGUAAGACUGGGAUAACUCCGGGAAACCGGGGCUAAUACCGGAUGCUUGUUUGAACCGCAUGGUUCAAACAUAAAAGGUGGCUUCGGCUACCACUUACAGAUGGACCCGCGGCGCAUUAGCUAGUUGGUGAGGUAACGGCUCACCAAGGCGACGAUGCGUAGCCGACCUGAGAGGGUGAUCGGCCACACUGGGACUGAGACACGGCCCAGACUCCUACGGGAGGCAGCAGUAGGGAAUCUUCCGCAAUGGACGAAAGUCUGACGGAGCAACGCCGCGUGAGUGAUGAAGGUUUUCGGAUCGUAAAGCUCUGUUGUUAGGGAAGAACAAGUGCCGUUCAAAUAGGGCGGUACCUUGACGGUACCUAACCAGAAAGCCACGGCUAACUACGUGCCAGCAGCCGCGGUAAUACGUAGGUGGCAAGCGUUGUCCGGAAUUAUUGGGCGUAAAGGGCUCGCAGGCGGUUUCUUAAGUCUGAUGUGAAAGCCCCCGGCUCAACCGGGGAGGGUCAUUGGAAACUGGGGAACUUGAGUGCAGAAGAGGAGAGUGGAAUUCCACGUGUAGCGGUGAAAUGCGUAGAGAUGUGGAGGAACACCAGUGGCGAAGGCGACUCUCUGGUCUGUAACUGACGCUGAGGAGCGAAAGCGUGGGGGAGCGAACAGGAUUAGAUACCCUGGUAGUCCACGCCGUAAACGAUGAGUGCUAAGUGUUAGGGGGUUUCCGCCCCUUAGUGCUGCAGCUAACGCAUUAAGCACUCCGCCUGGGGAGUACGGUCGCAAGACUGAACUCAAAGGAAUUGACGGGGGCCCGCACAAGCGGUGGAGCAUGUGUUUAAUUCGAAGCAACGCGAAGAACCUUACCAAGG
rnacentral:rRNA from 1 species